UAAAACGUAGGUGACGAGCGUUAUCCGGAUUUACUGGGCGUAAAGCGCUUGUAGGUGGCUUUGUAAGUUGGACGUGAAAUCUCCGGGCUUAACUCGGAGAGGCCGUUCAAUACUGCGAGGCUUGAGGAUGUCAGAGGGAAGUGGAAUUCCUGGUGUAGUGGUGAAAUGCGUAGAUAUCAGGAGGAACACCCGUGGCGAAAGCGGCUUCCUGGGGCAUUCCUGACACUGAGAAGCGAAAGCUAGGGGAGCAAACAGGAUUAGAAACCCUGGUAGUCCUAGCCGUAAACGAUGGAUGCUGGGUGUUGGCGGAUCUAACCCCGUCAGUGCCGAAGCUAACGCGUUAAGCAUCCCGCCUGGGAACUACGAUCGCAAGAUUA
rnacentral:rRNA from 1 species